UCCUUGCUGAAGAGGAGAGCACCAAAGGAGUGCCAGUGAUGGCAAGGAGAGCCAAAGAGAGAUGCAAAUGAAAUACUUUUGGAAGAGGAGACAAGUUUGGAAAGAAAGAAGGUACCAGGAAAUGCCUGAGAACUCAGCAAACUAAAGGAAGAAAUAGCACGUCCCUGGCAUAUGUUCAGUGACACUGUAGAGACCAAGACAUUACUGCAAGCAGUGGCUUUUCAAAUGCUGUCAAAUCAGAAGAAUGGUUGGCCAAGCCUUGGCAGAUGGUGGGGACCACCGGACACUGCAUGUUCAAG